rnacentral:tRNA from 1 species
GGGCAGGUGUCAGAGUGGUCGAAUGAGCACGCCUGGAAAGUGUGUGUACCGCAAACCGGUACCGAGGGUUCGAAUCCCUCCCGCUCCGCCA